UACGAAGGGGGCUAGCGUUGCUCGGAUUUAUUGGGCAUAAAGAGCUCGUAGGCGGUUCGGUAAGUCAGGUGUGAAAUCUCCACGCUCAACGUGGAGGCGCCACCUGAAACUGCCGUGACUAGAGUCCGGUAGGGGAGUGUGGAAUUCCCGGUGUAGCGGUGAAAUGCGCAGAUAUCAGGAGGAACACCGAUGGCGAAGGCAGGUCUCUGGGCCACUACUGACGCUGAGAAGCGAAAGCAUGGGGAGCGAACAGG
rnacentral:rRNA from 1 species